AUGGAUAUAACGGAGGUGACGGUGGUGCACCACGUCGCGCUGGUGCUGGCCGCGCUCUGGGCCGCCGGGAACGCCGGCUGGGCGCACCCGGCGCUCUUCCUCCUCGCCCUCGUCUACAUCUUCGCGGUAAAUGCACGGUACACAAUGAGACUGAAGAAGCGAUUACAGUUUGAGGAAAAGAAAAGUGCCAACCAAAGAAGGCUCCUCUCUGAUGCAGAGACAGUGAGGUGGCUAAAUUAUGCUGUUGAGAAGAUGUGGCCAGUGUGCAUGGAAAGGGUUGCAUCCCAGCAGUUCCUUUUGCCCAUAUUCCCCUGGUUCAUAAGCAAGUUCAAACCAUGGACCGCAAGGAAAGCAGAGAUCCAAAGCCUUUACUUGGGUCGGAAUCCGCCGAUGUUUACAGAUAUCAGGGUCGUCAGUCAAUCGACUGAUGAUGACCAUCUGGUUCUGGAGCUAGGAAUGAACUUCCUUGCUGCAGAUGAUAUGGAUGCAAGGAUGGCUGUACAACUGAGGAAGAGAUUCGGGUUUGGUAUUACAGCAAACAUGCAUAUAACUGGCAUGCAUAUUGAAGGCAAGGUCCUUGUUGGUGUGAGGUUUCUUCAACAGUGGCCCUUUAUUGGGCGUGUACGAGUAUGCUUUGUUGAGCCUCCAUACUUCCAGAUGACAGUGAAGCCGCUAUUUAGUCAUGGGCUUGACGUGACUGAACUUCCAGGAAUUUCUGGAUGGCUUGACAGAAUGUUGGAUGUUGCCUUUGGACAGACCCUAGUUGAGCCUAACAUGCUAGUUAUUGAUAUGGAGAAGUUUGCCUCGGAGUCGGAAUCUACAGAUAAUUGGUUUACUGUUGAUGAGAAGCCACCUAUUGCGCAUGCCAAGGUAGAGAUCAUGGAGGGGGCUGACAUGAAACCUUCUGACCCAAAUGGUUUAUCGGACCCGUAUGUGAAAGGCCAGCUCGGACCAUACCGUUUCCAGACAAAGAUCCAUAAGAAAACUCUCAACCCCAAAUGGCUGGAGCAGUUCAAGAUACCAAUUACUUCAUGGGAAUCAUCUAAUCUUCUUUCUCUUCAAGUUCGAGACAAGGACCAUAUCUUUGAUGACCCACUUGGCAAUUGUUCAAUCAGUACCAAUAAACUGAGAGGAGGACAAAGACACGAUAUGUGGAUUCCACUAAAGCAUAUAAAGACAGGGAGGGUUCAUAUAGCUGUCACGGUACUUGAAGAUGAAAAUGGAAAGGUACCUAGUGAUGAAGAUGAACUGUGUGGAACACCCAAGGAGGGGAAAGCUAGCACACCAGGGUCUAGUUUUUCUUCGAAGACCAACACCGAGAGUGCAUCUUCUGCGGGAUACCGGAAUAUGACCGAUGAAUAUGAACCUGUGGACAUCAAAGGACUGGAAAAGGCUGGAGUCUGGGUACAUCGGCCGGGCAGCGAUGUCGCCGCUACCUGGGAGCCUCGGAAGGGGCGAGCGCGGUGCCAGGAUUCCCAAAUACUACGGGAGAACGAUGGCUGCAGCGAUAGCCCCAGGUCAUCGGUGUCGGAGUCUCAGACAAGCAACUCCAGCACCGAAGAACCAGCCAGCGGCAACAAAUCUCAUCGCCACCUCCGCAAGGUGAAGAAGGGUUUGGUGAAACUGGCUGGAGCUAUGCGCCACAACAAGAACUCCAAGAGCGUGAGCGAUGACGACGAAACCUCUCCGUGCGAAACGCCGCACCCGAACAUACGGCCUGUCGGAGAAAGCAGGGUGUCGGUAACGUAUGUCGUCGACGAAGACCCCGGGAACAGCAGCAUGGAGCGGAGGUCAGAUGACCAGCACUCCAGCCCCGAGAGGGCCGGCGACGAGAGCCCGACAAAGGGACAGCUGAGGAAGAAGGCGGCGCAUAUGGUGAAACAUGCAGGGAAAGCCGCUCAUAACCUGAAGAGCAUGCUCAGCAGGAAAGGUCUUGACAAGGGCAAGGAAGACGAGUGCAGAAACGAGGAGGAAGGCGAUCUCGAUGUGACGAGAGUUGAUUCUUUUCCUGCACGCGGCGGCGCUGUGGGCGAUGCUGCGGAGUCCUUGGCUGAUGGCAAGGACAAAUUGCUGUAG
rnacentral:rRNA from 1 species